UAUUCAGAUCUCAAAAAUGUUCUAUCCAAAUUCUUCUUUCUCGAUGAGAUGCAUUUUUCAAGAAUUUCAUUCUAUCUCAACACCAAUUUUACACUCAUCGUUCCUAUAAAACUCCCAGAAAAAGAAAAUGAAACCCUAAAUCUCAUUAUUGAUGAGAUUUCACUGAUUUUUCCUCUCAAAACUCAAGUUUAUCACAUCAGCCUCCACAUUUCAAUAGGGUAACAGAUUAGUCGCUGAACAGUUUGGUUUGAUCUGCUUUGGCUUCUUAAAUAAAUGUUGCUGAAAUAUGCCUCAGUUAUUUUUCUCUCAUCAUCAUGGAUGUUGGGGUUUUGAAGUGGGAAAAAACCUUUGUAUUCCGUCUUUACCUGAUUGAAGAUUAUCAAAACAAAUUGAAGGGGUGUAUACCCUAUGAUUUCUAGACAUUCCUGAUCUCAAAUUGAAGCAGCUACCAGAUCCACAAAAUUUCAUCAUAUUUACAACAAAUUGGUUCCAGUGAUUCUACUCCAAGUACACUAGUGGAGAACCGUAAGCGAGGACAUCACACCCAGAUGGCAGCAACAGGGUGUACGGGAACACGUAAUGAAGCAUGUUUACAGAUUAAUGUGGAAGUGGAACCCCAAGCAAUAUUUCAAGCCUCUGCAGCAACUUUUCAGACCUCAGCGGGGUUAUGAUGUUGAUUGGUGAGGCUAUUGCUUCCAAUAAACCUAACCGAGGGGCUGUGGGCAAGAAUCUGACUGAGAAAGGGAAAUCAACUCGAUGUUGUUACAUGUGGGCAUCGUAGAACCGUGUAAGUCGAUCUUGCUUUGGAGUUGCAGAGAGUGAACUGGAAUUGCAAUCCAAAUAUGAUCUCUUCUACCUCUUUGCUUUUUGGAUUUUGCGAACAACUUGAAUUUUGAUGAACAAUCCCUGCAGAUUCGAAUUACUUAGUCUUAUUAUUAGAAAUUGCUUUCCAUCGGGUAAUUUACUGAAAACAAUGUCAAGAAGCUCCCUUAUGAUUGAUAAUUGGUGAAUGGGCAUGGCACUGUCAGUUCUACAUUUCUGCAUCCAUCCUUCUAGUGGAAAUCUGGUUUUCCUGAAAAAGGCAUAUCUUUGGAAAUAUAGUUCCUUUCUUCUUUUAUGGUUAAAAACAGGGUAUUGCAACUAACUGAAAGUACUAGAAUGACAGGUUACAUGUGGAAUACACCUGAUGAGUUACAAAACUCAAAGUAUUUCAACAUUCUGUGAAGGAAUAUGAGAUUUCUCAAAGUGGUGGAAUAUCUUUUCGUUCUGCCUGAGCCUCCUUUUAAUCUUCUUUGUUGUGACGGCGCUUCUAAAUGCAAUCCAGGCAUUGUUGUUUAUGGAUUCUUAUGCGGGAAUAAUCAGGGCUCCUUUUAAAUGCUGAGUCGUCAGGUGGUCUUGGAAUUGCUACGGAUUAUGUUGCAGAAAUCCUUGCCACUGCUUAGUCAGACUCAAAAGCUGUGAUAUUCUACAGAUUUUGUUUUUCCUUUUCUUUUUCUUCGAUUUUAUGGGCGUGACUUGGCUGUCUGGGCUCCUGCCAAGUUAUUUUCUGUUUUUGAAUGUGAAAACUAUUACCACACCCAUUUUCCAGAUAUUUUAGAACGGUUUUUUGGGAACCAUGGUUAUUUUGGGGGACCAUGGUGUUAUUAGGCCAACCUCCUAUACUUAUAAGGGGUGUCCCAAAAUUAGGUAAAUA